UACAGAGGGGGCAAGCGUUGUUCGGAAUUACUGGGCGUAAAGGGCGCGUAGGCGGUGUGUCACGUCGGCCGUGAAAACCUGGGGCUUAACUCUGGGCGUGCGGUCGAUACGGGCAUCACUAGAGUUCGGCAGGGGAGACUGGAAUUCCUGGUGUAGCGGUGAAAUGCGCAGAUAUCAGGAGGAACACCGGUGGCGAAGGCGGGUCUCUGGGCCGAUACUGACGCUGAGGAGCGAAAGCAUGGGUAGCGAACAGG
rnacentral:rRNA from 1 species